rnacentral:rRNA from 1 species
GACGAACGCUGGCGGCGUGCUUAACACAUGCAAGUCGAACGGUAAGGCCCUUCGGGGUACACGAGUGGCGAACGGGUGAGUAACACGUGGGUGAUCUGCCCUGCACUUCGGGAUAAGCCUGGGAAACUGGGUCUAAUACCGGAUAGGACUCCGGACUGCAUGGUCUGGGGUGGAAAGCUUUUGCGGUGUGGGGUGGGCCCGCGGCCUAUCAGCUUGUUGGGGGGGUGAUGGCCUUCCAAGGCGACGACGGGGAGCCGGCCUGUGGGGGUGACCCGCCACGCUGGGACGGAGAUGCGGCCCAGACUCCUACGAGAGGCAGCAGUGGGGAAUACUGCACAAUGGGCGCACGCCUGAUGCAGCGACGCCGCGUGAGGGAUGACGGCCUUCGGGUUGUAAACCUCUUUCAGCAUCGACGAAGCGAAAGUGACGGUAGGUGCAGAAGAAGGACCGGCCAACUACGUGCCCGCCGCCGCAGUAA